AUUCCGGCGGCCUCACCGGAAAGUGGCAGGACUCCGGAAGUCCCGCCCCGAGCGCGAGUGUGGAGGAAGUGCCGCCCGGCGCAGGCGCGACUGGGUGACGUGUUUCCGUGGAAGGAGGGGGGCUGCCGCGAAGGACGCCGGGAAGCUCCAGGGCACGACUGGAGGGCACUGGUCCGUCCAGUCGGGCUUUGGAGACUGGUUGGUCCUCGCACUGAUUUUGGAGGUUCCACAGCUGAGCAGUGUUAUUUGUUGAUGGACAUUAAAGCUUGUUUUGCCAUGUUGUCUAUCAAAUGAGCAAGCUGAUGGCAGUGGUAGCAGCUGGAUUCCUUCUGUUCUCCAAUCAAGCUACAAUCGUUCGUGGAUGAUCACAGCUAGGAAGCAAGGGUUGCUGAUCAUAGGAAUUUAUUUUCUGUUACAUACUUCCUAUGCUGUUUUCCCUGGAGUGCUCUUCUCCGGGCCCUCAGAGCAGGUCCUGCUGCGUCCUCAGCCACCGCUGCCAUGUGGUCUUGUCAGCCUGGUGAGCGCACCCUGCCUCUCCCAUGUGCUUUCACAGAUUCUCCAUUUUUGCACCAUACAUGGCAUCCUUUAUCUUUUCUUUCAUUAACUUUUGCUCUUCCCUCAAUUUCUUCUUUUCAAUAUUUUCCCUCCUUUUCAAUCUGAUAACUAAAAUGUAGAGAUGAAGUUAUUGAGACGUGAGUAAGUGAGGAAUGAGAGUGGAGAAGAAAGGAUCAAGGGUGCAGCAUGGGAAAUGAAGGAACAAGCAGUGGGCUUCUUGAGAUGAUAAAUGUUAUUUAAUUUUAAUGUCAUUUCCCUUUUGUAUAUAAAAACUUUAUAAAUGCCUAAUUUUUAAAAAGAACAAGUAAAAGUCAUAAUCCAAUGUAACAAAAAGAUAUUGAAAAAAUAUUUUCUAUUAGGUAAUAAAAAGGGCUCCUGGGCCUUUUGGCUCUUUUGGGCUGUCCAUGUCUGGAAUUGUUAGAGGGAAUCCAGAGGUGGGUAUCAGUAUGACUUGAUCAGACAGAAACACAUGUGUUUCCUCUAGAAGUUUGUAACAGGUGUCCAAGAAUCUCAGAACUUUUAGAGAUCAGUGAGCAGGAGCAUUCAGGCCACCCCUUCACAGUGGGCAGGCACCCCUGGGGGUAGGGGCAUCUGUUCUGUGAUCCUGGACCUACCUCCACAGCAGACUGAGGCAAGAGAAAUAACUGCAUAACUGUGUCCUAAACGUGAGAACAGUCAUAGAAACAAUUAUAUUUAAGGGAAAGCUUUGUUCUGCAAAGUUUACUUCCUGGACUCUGUCCCAGGGUCCUUGGGAUCACCAUGCAUCAGGAAACAAGCAGCCACACAGCCAUCAGCCUUCCAGGAUAGAGGAGAAUGGCUGCUUCUGUGGGUACGGACACAGGUGUCCAUCUUUCCUACCAGGGAAUCCACUAUCUCCCACUUAUCUUUGCUUUUAAAAACUAAACCAUUAAAAAAUUGCUGGCCGAGCUUUCUUGUGACCUUGUACCCACUUAGACUAGCCCGUCACUACCUGAACGGAUGAACUUCCCCAGCUCCUUCUCGUUCUCUGGAAGCAGGUUGGUGGACUCAUCCUCAGAAACUUCCUCAUAUGGUAUCUCAAUGUUUUCAUAAAGCAUGGCAAGCUGCUGCUUCUCCUCAGCCUUUACCAGCCUACUGGAGAGGAACACAUGAGUUCAGGUGCGGUUUUCAUGAUGGAUCAUUGUCUUACUCGUGCACCAUCUUAACAGCAAAGGAGGUGGCUAGUGGGGAUGGAGGAGGAAGCCGACGAUUAAAUGAGACUGAUCAUGAGAAGACCUCAGAUUUCUGGGAUGACUGGCCAAAUUCUGGAGGAAGGAGUGAGUCUGAUAAUCUGAAAUUGUGGAUCAAAGCCAAGACUAGGAAUGAAUGAGGCACUCACAUUGGGUACAAAAUUUAAGGGGUUGGUAAAAACAAACAGAAAACCUACCAUCAAGACAAAUCAUAAUUCAAUGUAAUACAUUACGAAAUAAAAACUAAAGCCAAAAAUGUAUCAGAAACACAAUAACAACAUUUUGAAUAAAGACGGGUGGGGAUUAAAAGUCUUCCUUUUGCUGACGCUCCAUAACAUGGCUCAGCCCAGCACUGUCACUGGUUCUGUAUUGAAAAUGUUGAUAUUUUGGUCACUGUGGAUUUUUUUUGGCAUUAAUCUAAAUUUUAAAGGUACUGCCUUAAAAUAGUACUUAUCCUGCUUACUGAGUUUUUGAUACUCCCUUAAACUGAGGCUACUGAAGGGAAGUCACCCUUCCUGUGGUCCAGUCCUGGAGUGGAUCCGGGAGCCGCUGUCCCUGUUCACUGUGGACCAUGACCCAGGGUCCUGAUUUUUCCUGACAUUAUUGCCCUCCCAGUUCUGUGUGACUCGGGUCAUGAAAGUUAUUUUAAGGGGACCAUGAUGAGAAAGGUUGUGGGAGCAUCUAGAGCUUGCUAUGGAUGGCAAGGACUGGACUGGUAAACUUUACCAAAGUUGAUCAUGAUAUCCGGUAGAAUUAGGCCUUCACCUCAAGCACGGAGUCUAAGAGGUACCAAAACACCCAGGCACAAAGAUAGAUACUAACACAAUAUUUUCAAAAAUUGAAAUGAAUGACCCCCGAAAAACAUAAGCCAAAUAUUAAAAUCUUAAAUGAAGAUAGGAUCCCAA